CCGGUACUUGUUCUUCCCUAACAACAGAGCUUUACGACCCGAAGCCUUCAUCUCUCACGCGGCGUUGCUCCAUCAGACUUUCGUCCAUUGUGGAAGAUUCCCUACUGCUGCCUCCCGUAGAGUCUGGGCCGUGUCUCAGUCCCAGUGUGGCCGAUCACCCUCUCAGGUCGGCUACGCAUCGUCGCCUUGGUGAGCCGUUACCUCACCAACUAGCUAAUGCGCCGCGGGCCCAUCUGUAAGUGUCAUNNNAAACCUUACUUNNNNUUUUUCCUCAUGAGANGAAAAGGAUUAUCCGGUAUUAGCACCGGUUUCCCGGUGUUAUCCCAGUCUUACANGCAGGUUGCCCACGUGUUACUCACCCGUCCGCCGCUAACCAACAAAAUGAAUCUCUUAAUUUUUAUNUAUAAUUGAAUNUAUUAGGGUAUNNUCCUAANUUUUGUUBUAA
rnacentral:rRNA from 1 species